CAGCCGUCGAGGAGACACCAUGCGCGCCUCUCUCGUCCUCCUCGCUGGUGUCGUCCUCCUCGCCCUCCUGUGCGGGACCGAGGCUCACCACUGCGAGGAUUGCAGAACCGUCUCCUGCCCGAGCACAGCCGAUUGCAUUCACGGCACCCAGCGCGAACAUUGCAACUGCUGCAACGUCUGCUUGAGGGUUGCCGGCGAGAAAUGUGACGGUCCCGCCAUCUGGACGGCUUUUGCUUAAGGCCAUCGAGGUGCAAAGGAAAUAUUUGUUCUUAGAACUAUUUACACUACUGAGCCUUGUGUGCAGUUAAAAGAAU